UUUAAUGUGGCAGAAUAAGUGCACUGAAUUUAAGCUUCAGAUAUGAAUCCCCUUUUCCUUUAAAA
rnacentral:tRNA from 1 species